GACGAACGCUGGCGGCGUGCUUAACACAUGCAAGUCGAACGGAAAGGCCUUUUCGGAGGUACUCGAGUGGCGCACGGGUGAGUAACACGUGGGUGACCUGCCCUGCACUCUGGGAUAAGCCUGGGAAACUGGGUCUAAUACCGGAUAGGACCGCACUUUAGUGUGUGUGGUGGGAAGUUUUUUCGGUGUAGGAUGAGCCCGCGGCCUAUCAGCUUGUUGGUGGGGUAAUGGCCUACCAAGGCGGCGACGGGUAGCCGGACUGAGAGGUUGGUCGGCCACAUUGGGACUGAGAGACGGCCCAGACGCCUACGGGAGGCAGCAGUGGGGAAUAUUGCACAAUGGGCGCAAGCCUGAUGCAGCGACGCCGCGGGGGGGAUGACGGCCUUCGGGUUGGAAACUCCUUUCGCCAGGGACGAAGCGUUUUGUGACGGUACCUGGAGAAGAAGCACCGGCUAACUACGUG
rnacentral:rRNA from 1 species